rnacentral:rRNA from 1 species
AUACGUAGGUGGCGAGCGUUGUCCGGAAUUACUGGGCGUAAAGGAUGCGUAGGUGGAUAUUUAAGUGGAUGUGAAAUCCCCGGGCUCAACCCGGGAACUGCAUUCCAAACUGGGUAUCUAGAGUGCAGGAGAGGAAAGCGGAAUUCCUAGCGUAGCGGUGAAAUGCGUAGAUAUUAGGAGGAACACCAGUGGCGAAGGCGGUUUUCUGGACUGUAACUGACACUGAGGCAUGAAAGCGUGGGUAGCAAACAGGAUUAGAUACCCUGGUAGUCCACGCCGUAAACGAUGGGUACUAGGUGUAGGAGGUAUCGACCCCUUCUGUGCCGUCGUUAACACAAUAAGUACCCCGCCUGGGGAGUACGGUCGCAAGACUAAAACUCAAAUGAAUUGACGGGG